rnacentral:tRNA from 1 species
GCGGGUUUAGCUCAGUUGGGAGAGCGUCAGACUGAAGCAGCUAACUUCAUUCCAUCAAUCCAAUUGAUAUCUGAAGGUCAUGUGUUCGAUCCACAUAAACCGCA